GUGCGUUCCAUACUAUAGGUGCGGAUCAUUUUUGCACAAUGAUGCUGUUCUCCGAGGAAACAAAGCUGGGCUCCCUGCCACCUUCCCUGACCACACCCUCCCUCCUAGGACCCUCCUGGUGGGAGAGUCUGGGACCCCCAGCCCACCCAACCUGACCUAAAGCAGCUUUCUGGAUCCCAAACAAACUUCCUCCUCCCUCUGCCUCAGAGGCCCAGAGUUCUGGUUCCCAUGACAAGAGGCAGGAAGUUGAGGACCUGGUGAGAGAUGAGGGGACCCACCCAAAGUCCUGCCAGUCCAGCAACUUCCUGUCCCGAGGCUCCCCUCGACCAGAGCCCUCCCUCUAGACCUGUGGUUCUCACCAGGGGACAAUUUGUCAGUCUUGAGAUGGUUUUGGUUGUAGUGUUGAAGGGCAGGGGCUACUGGCUUCUCAUGGGUAGAAGGCUGGGAUGCUGCUAAACAUGCUGAGGUGCUCAGGACAGGCCCCCACAACAAAGAACCAUCCAGCCCAAAUGUCUAUAGAGCUGAGAAUGAGAAACGCGACUUUACACAGGGGUGUCGGGGUGCCCCUGCCCACAGAAGCCAGGAGGAGGCGAGAUGCUCCGGCAGGGCUCCCAGGAAGGGCUCCAAUGAUAAGAGGAAUCCUGAUAAUAGCCAUAGUCAGAGUCCAUGGGCCCAUGGCACUGAUGAGGCCCAGAGGGGCAGUGACCAGCCCAAGGUCCCCCAAGGGGCAGGGCAUGGCCAAGCCUGGGGCCCACCUUUCCGGCCUCCUAGGUCCAGCCUGUUGUGUGCCCUCCGGGACAGAGUCCCAGGAGACCUCUGAGUCCUCUCUGAUGGGCAGCACCUGCCUGAGUUUGAGGGACUCCCUCCUGCCCGCUCCCAGCAUCCCCCACUCCAGCGGCUAGGGGAAUUUUUCUUCUUUGGAACUUACACUGUGUCCAGACGUUUCAGACACCGUGGGCCACUGGGGCCCAAGUGAGCGUCUGUCAGGAACAGCCCUGAGCCCACCCUCUCCUGGCCUCACUCAGGGUGUUUUGGCAACUUAUUCAAAACACAAAACACGAAAGCCGGUCUGUCUCCAGGACACUGUUUCUGCCCCACUGCGGCUCACUUAUGUUUGUUUAUAGACCAAAUGGGCCUGCGUUUGCUGUUGGUUUAACCCUGCCCCCACUCCCAACUCCUCCCACCCCCACCCUCGGGCCCAUGCUCUGUCGACACUUGGACCCCCGAGAUCCCUCUGCCCAGCCUCCUGAGCCCGGUGUACAGCCCAUAGCCCACACAGUGCCCAGCUGGAGUUUGGCAGCAUCUGCUGGAGGUAAGGACCGGUCCUCCAAGGGUAACAUUCCCUCCCAUCAGUUCCUGUUGGGGUUGGAGCACAGGCCUGAGGGAGCCUAACCGUCAGCCUUGGAAUCCAGCUGUUCCUCCUCCUGCCCUGUGACCCCAGGGGGUCUGAGCAGGGAUGAAGACCACCUCCCCUCCUGGCCGGAUCCAAAGCCAGCCUCCCCCAGUCAACCCCCGGGGUGGGUCCCAUGCUGAUUGGACCAGAUAAGGUAGGGGACAGUUUUGGGGGCAGAGGCUGUCCUAUUCCUUCUCCCACCAUGGGCCCCACUCUGGGGAAGAAUCAUAUUGCUCUUUGCUGUAAACAGACAGUUCUUGAAACGGGGGGCGGGGUGUGACAAAGCCUGGCCCUGUGUGUGGUCCACAGAGAGAUGGCGGGCCUCGCUGCCCAAUGCCAGGAACUGUUUGUGCUCUGCAGGCCAGCCUCUCUCCCCGCCCAGCCCCACCUUCCCACGGCCACAUCCACAGCCCCCAGGAGGUGUGCGAGACACCUCCAGGCAGAGGGUGGGGGCCCCUCGGGUCCUGAGGCUGAGGAGGCUGGCCUUCCGCUUCAGGCUGCCAUGUUCUCCAUUUUUUUCUUCAUUUGUCCCUAUGUAUCUGAAACGCACACAUUUCACUGCAAGUUCAGUCUCCUGCCACAGUCCUCAUGGAAAUACAAGAAUUUCUAGACAACAAGAUUUCUAGAUACAAGAUUUCUACCUGGAUACCAUAACUUUGUUCCAUCGCUUCCUGGGACACGUUACUGGGCCCCUUCCAUCAACUUUACCGAGGGGUGCUGUACCUGAUUUCUCUUUCCCAGUUCCUGGCUUCUUCUCCAUCCCCCUCCUGCCCCACCCCAGCCCCCAGCCCAGUGGUCCCAUGGCCUCUCCUUUAUUCCUCACCUCUGCCCUGUGGUCCUGUUUUCUCCCCCGAAGCUGGCCCUGCAGGAGACUUCCUGUUCCCAGGGUCUGGCACAGGCUGACCGUCGCCAGGGGCAGGGGGAGGCCCAGUCUAUGGACCAUUCCUGGGACCUUGACAUCACAACAAGCAAUCUGUGGGCCCUGGUUUUUAAAUGAUCUGUAAUUAAUGCUGUUUUUGUUAUUUAGCACUUUCUCAUCAAAGGGCUCAUUUAGGCCUUGCAAAACCUGACAGAUAAGGCCAAAUUUAAGGCUUCUCUUGGGAGUGGCUCCACCUGGGAGGAGUGCAAAGCUCCAGACUCCUCUGUCCACCUUGGGCUCCUGUGUCAAGUGUGAACUAAUUGCUAUGAAGGAUGGGCAACAGGAAGGGGAGAAGUUCCAUCUUCCGUUUCAGACCUGAGAGGCCUGAAGGCGUUGCCCAUGGCUGUCUCAAAGGUAAGGCUGGCAGCUCCUCCAAAUGGGACAUCCCCAAGCAAGGCCCUGUCUCCCCAUCUCUCCAGACUCCUUACACUGCUCACUCCAGAGAAUUAUACGGGAGCCCCUCAGAGGCUGCUUUUUCUAACUGACUGACUAGCAGAGCAACGAAGGACUCAUUGCCUCCUGUCUCUUUCUCUCAGAUGAGUUCCUUUAUUCGGUUCUGAGGAUGGCCUGACCAUGGGGCCCUGGGGCCCACUGGCUGGAGGAGAGUCAAUAAUGUACCGACAGCACAGCCACAGAUCUGGCCAGACACCCCCUCUCUGAAGAGGCAACUCCCCUGUGCCUGGAGGCGAGCGUGGGUGUGGGAGGCGAGGGCUCAUGCAAUGGCAGGUGCUGAGCCUGCAGCUGAGGACGAGGGCAGAGGGGACUCCGCCCUGUCUCCUCUCCUGAUCUGGUUGGCAGCCGCCAGAAUUUUCGUCUCUGCUUGACCCCAGCCCUUCUUUCUUCCCUCCCCUCUGUGAGUCCUGGAGCUUGGAGAGCCCAGGGCUGGAAGGAGGCAUUGGUACAGGACCGUCUCCUUCCCAACCUGCUGUCUCGGGCUGUUCCCUCUGAUCUCAUCCUCCUUCUGUCCAGCUCAGUACCUCUGAAGCUGGCCGUCCUCCAAGUCUAACCUCAGAUCUCGCCUCCUCCAGGAAGACUUCCCUGAAUCUUGGCGUGGUGCUACCUCCCUUCCCAGAAUUCCUGGGGCAAAUAAAGUUUGUACCAGAAAGCUGCCACAUGCCACGUCCUCCGGUUGUGUGUGGACAUCAUUGAGACCGAUCACAAAAGCUCUGGCUCUCUCUCCUUCUGGACACUUGGAAGAGGUGUACAUCCCCGCCCACCUGAAUUCAGGCGGGGCCACGUGACUGGCCAUGUGAGUGGAAAUGGCAGGAUCUGAGGCCCCGCAGCGGCGUGAGUCACAGGUGAUGAGUCACCGCAUUGUUUGUGCUGAUGGCCCGGGCAGGAAGCAGUCAGGCUGCAGGAGAAGUUGACUUUUCUCGUCUCGCUCCGGGGUUGGUGAAAAGAGCCAGGUUUAACCUUGGUGUCUCCUGCCUCUGUGGAAGCCUGAAUCCCCUCGGCUUAUGGGGUGGAGAGCAGCUGGUCUCCUUCAGAUGUGUCCCCUGACCCUAUCCUGGGGAAACUGAGGCAGGAGGCAUCUGUUCUCUGUGGGAGCAUCCUGGAGAACACGAACCCUGCAAGCAGCAGGGCUUGCUUCUGGCUGGGUUAUGAUGUUUGGCUACCAGUUACUAACGCCCCCUGGGGCUGGCUUCAGGGAGCUCAGCUUAAGGAAUCGAGGGUGUCUUAAACGCAGGACGAGAGCCUUUGAAAUCUCCCCAACACUUUCUAAACAAAUAGAUACGUUUUUACCAAUGUGAAAUCAAACUGUACAUCCUGUCUUUUGUAACCUGUUAUUUUCAUUCAACAGUAUGUUACCAACAUUUUUUUCAUGUUAAUAAACCUAGAUCUAAAGCUUCAUUAGUUGCUGGCAGUGUUUCCACUGUAAGAAUGUCAGAGUUAGAUACACGUGCCCUGUUGUUGGACAUUUACUUAUUUGUCGUUUUUACAUUGAACAGAACACUACACAUGAAUACCGCUGUCCACGCGUCUUGACCUAUGCUCUCCCUCGGAUGAGUUCCUCACAGUGGCAUUGCUCAGCUAAAGGGGAGGCACUGGGGUUUUUAAGAUUUUUUGAUGCCUAGCACCUAACUGCUCCCCA
rnacentral:lncRNA from 1 species